UACGAAGGGGGCUAGCGUUGCUCGGAUUGACUGGGCGUAAAGGGCGCGUAGGCGGUUCGUACAGUCAGACGUGAAAUUCCUGGGCUCAACCUGGGGGCUGCGUUUGAUACGUGCGGACUUGAGUGCGGAAGAGGGUCGUGGAAUUCCCAGUGUAGAGGUGAAAUUCGUAGAUAUCAGGAGGAACACCUGUGGCGAAAGCGGCGCACUGGACCACAACUGACGCUGAGGCGCGAAAGCUAGGGGAGCAAACAGG
rnacentral:rRNA from 1 species